rnacentral:rRNA from 1 species
UACGGAGGGGGCAAGCAUUAAUCGGAUUUAUUGGGCGUAAAGGGCGCGUAGGCGGAGAUAAUAGUCAGAUGUGAAAUCCUGGGGCUCAACCUCAGAACUGCAUUUGAAACUGUAUCUCUAGAGGGUAGGAGGAGAAAACGGAAUUCCACAAGUAGCGGUGAAAUGCGUAGAUAUGUGGAAGAACACCGGUGGCGAGGGCGGUUUUCUAUCUUAUUCCUGACGCUGAGGCGCGAAAGCAAGGGGAUCAAACAGG